rnacentral:lncRNA from 1 species
CCUAUUGGCCUGAGACUGGGCACCUUGUUCCCUAGAAGUAUCACCACUCUGAAAAUGUAUUUCUCCCAAUGGCUUUAGGUAAAGAACACUAGCCGUAGUAUAGGAGUUAGGACUCCCCCCACUCUUCUUAUUAGACCACUUAUCACUAAUCUAUUGGCUUCCACUUUGCUAAAAAAAUUAAGACCUCUUAGUCUGUCUCUCACCAAUAUUGUUCUAUUUUUUUCUCUUCCUCCACUUGCUGCAUAUACAUAACCAG